AAUAAAGAAACAUAACAAAAUGUAUGUGAGACUAAGAGCAUCCACUGUAACUCAACAUCAUCCAAACCUCUUGGACCAAAAAGUUCAACACCGCUUGAUGAACUCUCUUGAGAUGUUCUUAAAAAAAAAUUGGAAACGUAGACCAAAAACUCGUGCCGAUGUUAGAAAUUGCAAGGAACUCGUAACUCAACUGAUGAUGUCCAAGUUUUCAAAAAUUUGAAACUGCGUAUGCUUCAAAGGAACUCGUUGCUUGCUGUCGAGAACUACACUGAUCUAAUGGUGAAAUAUCGACUCCAUGCUAACCCCACCGCACAAUACGUUCAACAAGUUUUUGAUUAUUUUA
rnacentral:sRNA from 1 species